UACGUAGGGGGCAAGCGUUGUCCGGAUUUAUUGGGCGUAAAGCGCGCGCAGGCGGUCCUUUAAGUCUGAUGUGAAAGCCCACGGCUCAACCGUGGAGGGUCAUUGGAGACUGGUGGGCUUGAGUGCAGGAGAGGAACGCGGAAUUCCAGGUGUAGCGGUGAAAUGCGUAGAUAUCUGGAGGAACACCGGUGGCGAAGGCGGCGUUCUGGACUGUUACUGACACUGAGGAACGAAAGCCAGGGGAGCAAACGGG
rnacentral:rRNA from 1 species